CCUACGGGAGGCAGCAGUGAGGAAUAUUGGUCAAUGGGCGUAAGCCUGAACCAGCCAAGUCGCGUGAGGGAUGAAGGUUCUAUGGAUCGUAAACCUCUUUUAUAGGGGAAUAAAGUGCGGGACAUGUCCCGUUUUGAAUGUACCUUAUGAAUAAGGAUCGGCUAACUCCGUGCCAGCAGCCGCGGUAAUACGGAGGAUCCGAGCGUUAUCCGGAUUUAUUGGGUUUAAAGGGUGCGUAGGCGGCCUUUUAAGUCAGCGGUGAAAGUCUGUGGCUCAACCAUAGAAUUGCCGUUGAAACUGGGAGUCUUGAGUAUGUGUGAGGCAUGCGGAAUGCGUGGUGUAGCGGUGAAAUGCUUAGAUAUCACGCAGAACCCCGAUUGCGAAGGCAGCCUGCCAAGCCAUGACUGACGCUGAUGCACGAAAGCGUGGGGAUCAAACAGGAUUAGAUACCCCAGUAGUC
rnacentral:rRNA from 1 species